rnacentral:rRNA from 1 species
ACGAACGCUGGCGGCGCGCCUAACACAUGCAAGUCGAACGGAGCUUAGAGAGCUUGCUUUUUAAGCUUAGUGGCGAACGGGUGAGUAACGCGUGAGUAACCUGCCCUAGAGUGGGGGACAACAGUUGGAAACGACUGCUAAUACCGCAUAAGCCCACGGUACCGCAUGGUACUGAGGGAAAAGGAUUUAUUCGCUUUAGGAUGGACUCGCGUCCAAUUAGCUAGUUGGUGAGGUAACGGCCCACCAAGGCGACGAUUGGUAGCCGGACUGAGAGGUUGAACGGCCACAUUGGGACUGAGACACGGCCCAGACUCCUACGGGAGGCAGCAGUGGGGGAUAUUGCACAAUGGGGGAAACCCUGAUGCAGCGACGCCGCGUGGAGGAAGAAGGUUUUCGGAUUGUAAACUCCUGUCGUUAGGGACGAUAAUGACGGUACCUAACAAGAAAGCACCGGCUAACUACGUGCCAGCAGCCGCGGUAAAACGUAGGGUGCAAGCGUUGUCCGGAAUUACUGGGUGUAAAGGGAGCGCAGGCGGGAAGACAAGUUGGAAGUGAAAACCAUGGGCUCAACCCAUGAAUUGCUUUCAAAACUGUUUUUCUUGAGUAGUGCAGAGGUAGAUGGAAUUCCCGGUGUAGCGGUGGAAUGCGUAGAUAUCGGGAGGAACACCAGUGGCGAAGGCGGUCUACUGGGCACCAACUGACGCUGAGGCUCGAAAGCAUGGGUAGCAAACAGGAUUAGAUACCCUGGUAGUCCAUGCCGUAAACGAUGAUUACUAGGUGUUGGGGGAUUGACCCCCUCAGUGCCGCAGUUAACACAAUAAGUAAUCCACCUGGGGAGUACGACCGCAAGGUUGAAACUCAAAGGAAUUGACGGGGGCCCGCACAAGCAGUGGAGUAUGUGGUUUAAUUCGAAGCAACGCGAAGAACCUUACCAGGGCUUGACAUCCCUCUGACAGGCUUUUAAUCGAGCCAUUCUACGGACAGAGGAGACAGGUGGUGCAUGGUUGUCGUCAGCUCGUGUCGUGAGAUGUUGGGUUAAGUCCCGCAACGAGCGCAACCCUUAUUGCCAGUUACUACGUUAAGAGGACUCUGGCGAGACUGCCGUUGACAAAACGGAGGAAGGUGGGGAUGACGUCAAAUCAUCAUGCCCUUUAUGACCUGGGCUACACACGUACUACAAUGGCGUUAAACAAAGAGAAGCAAGACCGCGAGGUGGAGCAAAACUCAAAAACAACGUCUCAGUUCAGAUUGCAGGCUGCAACUCGCCUGCAUGAAGUCGGAAUUGCUAGUAAUCGCGGAUCAGCAUGCCGCGGUGAAUACGUUCCCGGGCCUUGUACACACCGCCCGUCACACCAUGAGAGCCGGGGGGACCCGAAGUCGAUAGUCUAACCGUAAGGAGGACGUCGCCGAAGGUAAAACUGGUGAUUGGGGUG